AGUGAACGCUGGCGGUAGGCCUAACACAUGCAAGUCGAACGGCAGCACAGGAGAGCUUGCUCUCGGGGUGGCGAGUGGCGGACGGAUGAGGAAUACAUCGGAAUCUACUCUGUCGUGGGGGAUAACGUAGGGAAACUUACGCUAAUACCGCAUACGACCUACGGGUGAAAGCAGGGGACCUUCGGGCCUUGCGCGAUUGAAUGAGCCGAUGUCGGAUUAGCUAGUUGGCGGGGUAAAGGCCCACCAAGGCGACGAUCCGUAGCUGGUCUGAGAGGAUGAUCAGCCACACUGGAACUGAGACACGGUCCAGACUCCGACGGGAGGCAGCAGUGGGGAAUAUUGGACAACGGGCGCAAGCCUGAUCCAGCCAUACCGCGUGGGUGAAGAAGGCCUUCGGGUUGUAAAGCCCUUUUGUUGGGAAAGAAAUCCAGCUGGCUAAUACCCGGUUGGGAUGACGGUACCCAAAGAAUAAGCACCGGCUAACUUCGUGCCAGCCGCCGCCGUAA
rnacentral:rRNA from 1 species